GAACGCUGGCGGCAGGCCUAACACAUGCAAGUCGAGCGGUAGCACAGGGAGCUUGCUCCUGGGUGACGAGCGGCGGACGGGUGAGUAAUGUCUGGGAAACUGCCUGAUGGAGGGGGAUAACUACUGGAAACGGUAGCUAAUACCGCAUAACGUCGCAAGACCAAAGAGGGGGACCUUCGGGCCUCUUGCCAUCAGAUGUGCCCAGAUGGGAUUAGCUAGUAGGUGGGGUAACGGCUCACCUAGGCGACGAUCCCUAGCUGGUCUGAGAGGAUGACCAGCCACACUGGAACUGAGACACGGUCCAGACUCCUACGGGAGGCAGCAGUGGGGAAUAUUGCACAAUGGGCGCAAGCCUGAUGCAGCCAUGCCGCGUGUAUGAAGAAGGCCUUCGGGUUGUAAAGUACUUUCAGCGGGGAGGAAGGCGAUAAGGUUAAUAACCUUGUCGAUUGACGUUACCCGCAGAAGAAGCACCGGCUAACUCCGUGCCAGCAGCCGCGGUAAUACGGAGGGUGCAAGCGUUAAUCGGAAUUACUGGGCGUAAAGCGCACGCAGGCGGUCUGUCAAGUCGGAUGUGAAAUCCCCGGGCUCAACCUGGGAACUGCAUUCGAAACUGGCAGGCUAGAGUCUUGUAGAGGGGGGUAGAAUUCCAGGUGUAGCGGUGAAAUGCGUAGAGAUCUGGAGGAAUACCGGUGGCGAAGGCGGCCCCCUGGACAAAGACUGAC
rnacentral:rRNA from 1 species